rnacentral:rRNA from 1 species
GAUGAACGCUGGCGGCGUGCCUAAUACAUGCAAGUCGAGCGAACAGACGAGGAGCUUGCUCCUCUGACGUUAGCGGCGGACGGGUGAGUAACACGUGGAUAACCUACCUAUAAGACUGGGAUAACUUCGGGAAACCGGAGCUAAUACCGGAUAAUAUAUUGAACCGCAUGGUUCAAUAGUGAAAGACGGUUUUGCUGUCACUUAUAGAUGGAUCCGCGCCGCAUUAGCUAGUUGGUAAGGUAACGGCUUACCAAGGCAACGAUGCGUAGCCGACCUGAGAGGGUGAUCGGCCACCCGGGAACUGAGACACGGUCCAGACUCCUACGGGAAGCAGCAGUAGGGAAUCUUCCGCAAUGGGCGAAAGACUGACGGAGCAACGCCGCGUGAGUGAUGAAGGUCUUCGGAUCGUAAAACUCUGUUAUUAGGGAAGAACAAAUGUGUAAGUACCUAUGCACGUCUUGACGGUACCUAAUCAGAAAGCCACGGCUAACUACGUA